CUCCCGGUUGAUCCCGCCGGACCUGACUGCUAUCGGAUUGGUACUAAGCCAUGCGAGUCGUUGUAGCAAUACAAGGCGGACGGCUCAGUAACACGUAGUCAACCUAACCUAUGGACGUGGAUAACCUCGGGAAACUGAGAAUAAACCGCGAUAGAUCAUUAUGCCUGGAAUGGCUUAUGGUUCAAACAAUUUAUUGCCGUAGGAUGGGACUGCGGCCUAUCAGCUUGUUGGUGAGGUAAUGGCCCACCAAGGCUAUAACAGGUACGGGCUCUGAGAGGAGAAGCCCGGAGAUGGGUACUGAGACACGGACCCAGGCCCUAUGGGGCGCAGCAGGCGAGAAACCUUAGCAAUGUGCGAAAGCACGACUAGGUUAAUCCGAGUGAUUUCUGUUGAAGAAAUCUUUUGUCAGUCGUAAAACCACAGACGAAUAAGGGGUGGGCAAGUCUGGUGUCAGCCGCCGCGGUAAUACCAGCACCUCGAGUGGUCAGGAGGUUUAUUGGGCCUAAAGCAUCCGUAGCCAGCUACGCAAGUCUCCGGUUAAAUCCAGCUGCUCAACAGAUGGGCUGCCGGAGAUACUACAUAGCUAGGGAGCGGGAGAGGUAGACGGUAUUCUGUGGGUAGGGGUAAAAUCCACUGAUCCAUAGAGGACCACCAGUGGCGAAGGCGGUCUACCAGAACGCGUUCGACGGUGAGGGAUGAAAGCUGGGGGAGCAAACCGGAUUAGAUACCCGGGUAGUCCCAGCUGUAAACGAUGCAAACUCGGUGAUGCAUUGGCUUAUGGCCAAUGCAGUGCCGCAGGGAAGCCGUUAAGUUUGCCGCCUGGGAAGUACGGACGCAAGUCUGAAACUUAAAGGAAUUGGCGGGGGAGCA
rnacentral:rRNA from 1 species